rnacentral:rRNA from 1 species
ACAGGUGCUGCAUGGCUGUCGUCAGCUCGUGUUGUGAAAUGUUGGGUUAAGUCCCGCAACGAGCGCAACCCUUAUCCUUUGUUGCCAGCGGUCCGGCCGGGAACUCAAAGGAGACUGCCAGUGAUAAACUGGAGGAAGGUGGGGAUGACGUCAAGUCAUCAUGGCCCUUACGACCAGGGCUACACACGUGCUACAAUGGCGCAUACAAAGAGAAGCGACCUCGCGAGAGCAAGCGGACCUCAUAAAGUGCGUCGUAGUCCGGAUUGGAGUCUGCAACUCGACUCCAUGAAGUCGGAAUCGCUAGUAAUCGUGGAUCAGAAUGCCACGGUGAAUACGUUCCCGGGCCUUGUACACACCGCCCGUCACACCAUGGGAGUGGGUUGCAAAAGAAGUAGGUAGCUUAACCUUCGGGAGGGCGCUUACCAC